ACGCACAGCGAAAGGUGCUUGCACCUUUCAAGUGAGUGGCGAACGGGUGAGUAACACGUGGACAACCUGCCUCAAGGCUGGGGAUAACAUUUGGAAACAGAUGCUAAUACCGAAUAAAACUUAGUGUCGCAUGACACAAAGUUAAAAGGCGCUUCGGCGUCACCUAGAGAUGGAUCCGCGGUGCAUUAGUUAGUUGGUGGGGUAAAGGCCUACCAAGACAAUGAUGCAUAGCCGAGUUGAGAGACUGAUCGGCCACAUUGGGACUGAGACACGGCCCAAACUCCUACGGGAGGCUGCAGUAGGGAAUCUUCCACAAUGGGCGAAAGCCUGAUGGAGCAACGCCGCGUGUGUGAUGAAGGCUUUCGGGUCGUAAAGCACUGUUGUAUGGGAAGAACAGCUAGAAUAGGAAAUGAUUUUAGUUUGACGGUACCAUACCAGAAAGGGACGGCUAAAUACGUGCCAGCAGCCGCGGUAAUACGUAUGUCCCGAGCGUUAUCCGGAUUUAUUGGGCGUAAAGCGAGCGCAGACGGUUUAUUAAGUCUGAUGUGAAAGCCCGGAGCUCAACUCCGGAAUGGCAUUGGAAACUGGUUAACUUGAGUGCAGUAGAGGUAAGUGGAACUCCAUGUGUAGCGGUGGAAUGCGUAGAUAUAUGGAAGAACACCAGUGGCGAAGGCGGCUUACUGGACUGCAACUGACGUUGAGGCUCGAAAGUGUGGGUAGCAAACAGGAUUAGAUACCCUGGUAGUCCACACCGUAAACGAUGAACACUAGGUGUUAGGAGGUUUCCGCCUCUUAGUGCCGAAGCUAACGCAUUAAGUGUUCCGCCUGGGGAGUACGACCGCAAGGUUG
rnacentral:rRNA from 1 species